rnacentral:rRNA from 1 species
AUUGAACGCUGGCGGCAGGCUUAACACAUGCAAGUCGAGCGAGCGGCGGACGGGUGAGUAGUGUCUGGGAAACUGCCUGAUGGAGGGGGAUAACUACUGGAAACGGUAGCUAAUACCGCAUACCAUCAGAUGUGCCCAGAUGGGAUUAGCUAGUAGGUGGGGUAAUGGCUCACCUAGGCGACGAGCCCUAGCUGGUCUGAGAGGAGGACGAGCCAAACGGGAACUGUGACCGGGCCCAGGCUCUGACGGGAGGCAGCAGUGGGGAAGUUUGUACAAGGGGCGCAAUCCUGAUGAAGCAAGGCCGCGUGUGUGAAGAAGGCGUUCGGGUUGUAAAGCACUUUCAGCGAGGAGGCGUUACUCGCAGAAGAAGCACCGGCUAACUCCGUGCCAGCAGCCGCGGUAAUAC